rnacentral:rRNA from 1 species
AGGAAGUUUUCGGAUGGAAUCUUGAUUGACUGAGUGGCGGACGGGUGAGUAACGCGUGGGUAAACCUGCCUCAUACAGGGGGAUAACAGUUAGAAAUGACUGCUAAUACCGCAUAAGACCACAGCACUGCAUGGUGCAGGGGUAAAAACUCCGGUGGUAUGAGAUGGACCCGCGUCUGAUUAGUUAGUUGGUGGGGUAACGGCCUACCAAGGCGACGAUCAGUAGCCGACCUGAGAGGUUGAACGGCCACAUUGGGACUGAGACACGGCCCAGACUCC